rnacentral:rRNA from 1 species
GACGAACGCUGGCGGCGUGCCUAAUACAUGCAAGUCGAACGCAGUGGGGACGGGUGAGGAACACGUGGGUAACCCUCCAUCAGAGGGGACAACACUUGGACACACGUGCUAAACUGAUACUGAUGGAUGGAUCCGCGGUGUAUUAGCUAGUGGGUGAGGUAACGGCUCACCAAGGCCACGAUGCAUAGCGGACCUGAGAGGGUGAUCGGCCACACUGGGACUGAGACACGGCCCAGACUCCUACGGGAGGCAGCAGAAGGGAAUCUUCGGCAAUGGACGAAAGUCUGACCGAGCAACGCCGCGUGAGUGAGGAAGGUUUUCGGAUCGUAAAACUCUGUUGUUAGAGAAGCGGUAUCUAACCAGAAAGCCACGGCUAACUACGUGCCAGCAGCCGCGGUAAUAC